rnacentral:rRNA from 1 species
UUCUUAAUGAUAUAAUUUUAAGUCACACCUGCUCAAUGAAACUUUAAUAGCCGCGGAAAUUUAACCGUGCUAAGGUAGCAUAAUCAUUAGCCUCUUAAUUAGGGACUCGUAUGAACGGUGAAACAUUUCAAUUUCUUUAUUUAACUAGAAAAUUUUAAUUUAAAUUAAGAAUAAAAAUGUUCUUAUAGUUAAAAUAGACGACAAGACCCUUUUGAACUUCACUUUUGUUUGGCUGGGGCAGCCAGAAAAUAAUAAUCUUUUCUAACCCUUUUUCAUAAAUGACCCAAUUUAUUUGAUUAUUUGAAAAAGUUACCAUAGGGAUAACAGCGUAAUAUUUUUUAAAAGCUCUUAUUUAAAAAAGUGAUUGCGACCUCGAUGUUGAAUUAAUAUAACUUUUAAAAUGCAGCCAUUUUAAAGGUAGGUCUGUUCGACCUUUAAAAUAUUACA